UUUUGACUGAGAAAAAAAGCACAAAGCCUUCGUCUGACACAUUUUGCUAGAUUGGGUUGUUCUUGAUUAUGGCUGUAAGGGCUACAAGGCGAUUAUUGAGAGAUGUUUUGUACAAAAGGUUAAUUUCAAGUCCUGUUGGAGGUGUUAGACACUGUUCUUCUGUUGCAGAAGCUCCUCCUAAAAUCCCUCACUUCUCCAGAAAAGGAAGGCUUUUGACGGGACUCACCAUAGGAUUCGUCAUUGCUGGAGGAGCUUACGUAAGUACUGUGGAUGAAGCAACUUUCUGUGGUUGGCUAUUCAAUGCAACAAAACUAGUGAAUCCAUUUUUUUGCCCUCCUAGAUGCUGAGGUUGCUCAUAG
rnacentral:misc_RNA from 1 species